GUGACCCGGGCUCAGGCGGCAGACCACCUGGUUGUGGUCCAGGAGGUCGCAGGUUCAAGCCUUGCUACA
rnacentral:tRNA from 1 species